GGUUUGGAGGAAAAUUACUGAGGAUUUUGGAGACGCAAGCAAUUCAAAGCCAAUCAGUGCAUCUGUAAAUCCUCUGUGUUUUAAAACAAACCGGAUUGGGACCACUGCUGCCUGUAGAUUAUGGCCCUCGAAGUGAUAAACAUGCUGUUCCAUUGCUAUUUGCCCCAUGAGAUAAACAUUUCUGAUGGAUUUUUCU